rnacentral:rRNA from 1 species
GAUGAACGCUGACAGAAUGCUUAACACAUGCAAGUCUUUGGCGAAGCUGUGCUUGCACAGCCUAGCCAAGGCGGACGGGUGAGUAACGCGUAAGGAACUUGCCCUGCAGUCAGGGAUAACAGACGGAAACGACUGAUAAGACCUGGUAAAGUCAGGCGGACUCAUGUCCAGCCUGAUGAAAAGAGAUGCUGCAGGAGAGCCUUGCGUCCUAUUAGCUUGUUGGUGGGGUAACGGCCCACCAAGGCGAUGAUAGGUAGCCGGCCUGAGAGGGUGGACGGCCACAAGGGGACUGAGAUACGGCCCUUACUCCUACGGGAGGCAGCAGUGGGGAAUAUUGGACAAUGGGGGCAACCCUGAUCCAGCAAUUCGGUGUGCACGAUGAAGGUUUUCGGAUUGUAAAGUGCUUUCAGCAGGGAAGAAAAAAAUGACGGUACCUGCAGAAGAAGCGACGGCUAAAUACGU